rnacentral:rRNA from 1 species
GGAAGGAUCAUUACCGAAUUGUCAACAAGAGUUGUUGCUGGUCUCCGUAUGGGGGCAUGUGCACGCUCUGUUUACACAUCCACUCACACCUGUGCACGCUCUGUAGUUCUAUGGCCUGGGUGGGCUCUGUCCUCCUGCUGUGGUUCUAUGUCUUUACACACACACUACAACAAAGUCUCAUGGAAUGUAUGUCGCGUUUAACGCAAUGAAAUACAACUUUCAGCAACGGAUCUCUUGGCUCUCGCAUCGAUGAAGAACGCAGCGAAAUGCGAUAAGUAAUGUGAAUUGCAGAAUUCAGUGAAUCAUCGAAUCUUUGAACGCACCUUGCGCCCUUUGGCUAUUCCGAAGGGCAUGCCUGUUUGAGUAUCAUGAACACCUCAACUCUCAUGGCUUGCCAUGAUGUGCUUGGACUUUGGGGGUCUUGUUGGCCUGUGAGCCAGCUCCUCUUAAAUGAAUUAGCUUGCCGGUGUUUGGUGGCGUCACAGGUGUGAUAACUAUCUACGCUUGUGGUUUCCCACCAGGGUAACCUUCAGCAAUGAAGGUUCACCGGAGCUUAUAAAUGUCUCUCCUCAGUGAGGACAGAUUUUGACCAUUUGAUCUCAAAUCAGGUA